rnacentral:rRNA from 1 species
UACGGGGGGGGGCAAGCGUUGUUCGGAAUUACUGGGCGUAAAGGGUCUGUAGGUGGCUUGCUAAGUCAGACGUGAAAUCCCUCGGCUUAACCGGGGAACUGCGUCUGAUACUGGCGAGCUUGAGUGCAGGAGAGGAACGCGGAAUUCCAGGUGUAGCGGUGAAAUGCGUAGAGAUCUGGAAGAACACCAAAGGCGAAGGCAGCCUCCUGGGAAGGACCUGACGCUAAUGUGCGAAAGCUAGGGGAGCAAACGGG